rfam:Rhabditophanes sp. KR3021 genome assembly, scaffold: RSKR_scaffold0000035
GCCUCCCUAGCUCAAUUGGUAGAGCGUUAGACUUUUAAUCUAACGGUCGCGGGUUCGAGCCCCGCGGGGGGCU